AAUGUAGUAGUAUAACGAGUAUAUUUAGUUUACAUCUAAAAGGUAUUGAUUUAGUCUACAUGU
rnacentral:tRNA from 1 species